ACUGCUGCAGAGAGAGAGAGAAAACAGCUCCUUCAGCUGGGGAAACACCUCCCACCCACCCCAGAGCUCCACCUCAGGGACCUGGGACCUUCUCACACCUCCAUGGAUAAAUGGUCAGGCUCAAAGCAGAGACUUGUCCUCUUUCCAGGGAGAAGAUAAAUAUUUCUGUGGUGUAUCUCACCUGGAGGUGUCUGACAGCAUUCUGCUCUGCCUUUUCCAUUGUGCAGCACAUGAGCUCCAACCUCAAGACUCCUGGUCAGAAAACUCACAGGCAUCUUUCCUACAAUCCCCAAACAAAGGAUUUUUUACAAUAUCUGUAUCCAGAAGAGAACUUCCUGAUGGUGGUCAGCCCUGCUGAAUUAUGAUUCACAAAACUAAACUUAAUGGAGUUGUUUAAUCUUGCAUUAAAAUCCUGCUUGUGCACACAAAGUUCAAAUUGUUUUACGCAAUUAAGAGCACAUACACAGUGCAACAAAUAAAAUAAAUCCUAUUAAAGAUUUGCUCCUUUUUAAGUGAA